rnacentral:rRNA from 1 species
GAGCCAGCCGCCGAAGGUGGGACAGAUAAUUGGGGUGAAGUCGUAACAAGGUAGCCGUAUCGGAAGGUGCGGCUGGAUCACCUCCUUUCUAAGGAA